AGCAAAAAGAAAACUCAACAGGUUUUUAAACAUACACUUCAAGUGAUUUCCUAAGAAUAGUCAACAUAGAGAACUUGUGACCCAGGGACCUGGAAUAUCUUCAAGAAUCAACAUACUAGAGGAGCAGCCUUGAGAGCUGUGUGACGUGUCGUAGGAGGGAAUGAGGAAAAAUGGAAUAAACAUGGUAGAAGAUGAAGCAUUUGUGGAGUACAGAGCCUUCUUAUGGAUGUUUGGUUGAAUCAUCCUGAUUGCCCCCACUUUCAUCUUGAUUUCCAAGAGCAAAGGGGAAAUUAUAAGGAAUAUUCUGGGUGGCUUCUCUCCAAGAAUUCUGUGGAACCCUCACCAUCCAGAUGGUUUUCAUAUCACUGA
rnacentral:lncRNA from 1 species